UACGUAGGUGGCAAGCGUUGUCCGGAAUUAUUGGGCGUAAAGCGCGCGCAGGCGGCUUCUUAAGUCUGAUGUGAAAGCCCACGGCUCAACCGCGGAGGGUCCUUGGAAACUGGGGGGCUUGAGUGCAGAAGAGGAGAGCGGAAUUCCACGUGUAGCGGUGAAAUGCGUAGAGAUGUGGAGGAACACCAGUGGCGAAGGCGGCUCUCUGGUCUGUAACUGACGCUGAGGCGCGAAAGCGUGGGGAGCAAACAGG
rnacentral:rRNA from 1 species